CCAAUAGCGUAUAUUAAAGUUGUUGCAGUUAAAAAGCUCGUAGUUGAAUUUCGGGGUUAGUAGGUUGGUCGUGCCAUUGGUAUGUACUGGCCUUACUGAUUCCUCCUUCUUGAAGAACUGUAAUGUCAUUAAUUUGGUGUUGCAGGGAAACAGGACUGUUACUUUGAAAAAAUUAGAGUGUUUAAAGCAGGCUAACGCUUGAAUACAUUAGCAUGGAAUAAUGAAAUAGGACGUUUGAUCCUAUUUUGUUGGUUUCUAGGAUUGACGUAAUGAUUAAUAGGGAUAGUUGGGGGCAUUAGUAUUCAAUUGUCAGAGGUGAAAUUCUUGGAUUUAUUGAAGACUAACUACUGCGAAAGCAUUUGCCAAGGAUGUUUUCAUUAAUCAAGAACGAAAGUUAGGGGAUCGAAGACGAUCAGAUACCGUCGUAGUCUUAACCAUAAACUAUGCCGACUAGGGAUCGGAUGAUGUUAAUUUUUUAAUGACUCAUUCGGCGCCUUACG
rnacentral:rRNA from 1 species